rnacentral:misc_RNA from 1 species
CCGAGAUUUUGGCAGCCGGUGGCGCAUCGUCGCGGGCGCGAGAGCCGAGAUUUUGGCACGCGAGUGCACACGCGCGGGGGGGGGUAAAAAAAUUACGAUCUAUACGAAUCCGAGAAUUUUUACCUGUCACGUUUGCGUCAUUUUUUUUUACGACUUCCAAUUUCGCGCGUUAGUUGUUUUCACGCGAAGACGCACAAAUCGGCCUUCGAUUUGCGUACCGGUACAACAAGGAGGAAAAUAAUACAAUAAAAUUAAAGAAAAAAAAAAAGAAGUGAUUCGCGGGCUGUAUAAUAUCACGGUAUACGACGACUGCUGUUUCGUUGGACAAACACGCGUUUUAUUACUAUUUUUACGUGUUCAAACACGAACUGUGUGCCGAGACUCUGCGCGUCGGCUCUCGACUUUCCUCGUGGAUUUUCAUCAUCAUCAUCAUGCUUAUUAAUAAUUCGUAAUCGAUCGUCGUGUACUCAGGUAUACGCCUUUCUCGCCUCUAAUCUCGCUCGAUUUCGUGGUUUUUCCCCCCGCUGCGCUCGUGGUUAAUCGGCGCGCACACGCCCCCAUCGGUACUCGGUAUAUAUACCACAAAAGCUCGAAAUUUUUUUUAGUCAUAGUUCGACACAGAGAGAUAAUAAGUGCGAUCGUAUUGUAGUGUGCUCGUGUGCUCGUGUGCUCUAUAUAUUAUAUAGACGAGAUAUAAUAGACUCGUUGCGAGACUUGACUCAACUCGACGUUGGUGCUAUAUUAACCGGCGGGCUGCCAAAAAUUUUCAACGAAACGUGCGAUCUCGAGCUCAUCUCGUUGUGUGCGAUCUCUACUGCGUCGAUCGUCAUCCAACGGCGAUCGUCUACGUCGGCAUCAUUACGUUGAACGGCCAACACGCUAUUCGCGAGUUCAAGGCACGCCGUCUCAAAGAUCUCUUCCUGUCCGUUCUCGCCUAUUUCAAAUACUCGGCUCGGUGUGUGAAAUGAAUAAGGAGAUUUUCGCCAAUGGCAUCGCUACCAUAGAUUUGCGCGCCGAGAAAUGCGCCGAGGAUCAUCGAGAGCCGAGUCAGCCGGCCAAGAGCUACGACGAGGCGAUCCGCGCCACCGGCUGGGGCUGGUACAACGUACACCUGCUCCUGCUCUGUCUGCCGAUCGCCUGGUCGGCCGUCAUCGACACGACCAGCACCGUGUUCGUGCUCAACUCGCAGGAGUGCGAGUUCGAGCUGACCAUGUUUCGCCGGGGCAUAGCCCUCUGCGUCAUCUAUAUGGGUAUGAUAGUCGCCGGGCCGAUCUGGGACACCUGUCUGCGCGAGUACAGCACGGCGUACUUGGGCAAAAGAAACAUCAUCAUAAUAGGAAUUUUAAUGGACGCCCUGUGCAAUCUAUUCUGGACCUACACUUCGUCUUUUUACACAUACGUUAUAUGCAAAUUCAUUAGCGGCCUGAUAGUCGCCGGCCCGUUGUCCGUCGUAAUGGCUUACUUAUCGGAGUUUCACGCGAUCGCUUACCAGGCCAAGUUUACGAGGUGGGCCGGUCUGCUCGUCGCCGUAUCUAACAUCGUGCCGGCAGCUCUGGCCGCGAUACUGCUGCAUCGUGCCGACUGGCUGAACUUCACGCUCCACGGCCAGUUCUAUCCGACCUGGAGGAUCUACCUGCUGGUCAACGGGCUGCCGUCGAUUCUCGGAGUGAUCACGGCCUGUCUGCUGCCCAAGAGUCCGAAAUUUUUGAUAUCACAGGGCAAGCGCGAGGACGCCCUGAGAAUACUGGCCAAGAUGUAUCGCUGGAAUCAUCGCGACUCCAAUUGCGAGUAUCCCAUAACGAAUUUAAAGCGUCAAGAGGCCAAGAAGACGCCGAUCGGCGAACUGUUCGCCGAUAAUUUCCAACGAUACAAAUCGGUAUUUUCCGCGCCUUACAGCCACGCGCUGAUCACGGUGCUGUUUUUGCAAUUUUUCGCGAUGAUGGGCUUUCACGUAACGAGACUCUGGGUGCCACCGCUGUACGUCACCAUGAACCACUUUAGGGUGCUGACGCGCCACCUCUAUCCCAAGGACGAGCUCAUCACCAUGUGCGAGAUGCUGUAUCCGCGACUGCAGAACAUCGAUCACACGGGCUGCACCUACGUACAGCCCAAAGUCGAGGCCGCCGUCUACGUGAACUCGACGAUCAUCGCCACGACCGCCGUGACACUCGGCUUCGUCUUUGUGCUGCUGGCCACCACGAGAUUGCGAAAAAUCAGUCUACUAGUCUUUUUGUUCCUGGUCGCCGCCGCCGGCUGCUGCGUCACCAACUGGGCGAUCAACAUACCCUGGAUGUUGGUCACGGUCGCCCUGACCAUCGUCGGCUCCCGCGUCGCCGGCCAACUGAUCGUCGCCUACAAUUCCGAAAUAUUGCCGCUGCACCUGAGGUCGACGUCUCUUAGCGUAAUCAAUUUUGUAGGAAAUUUAGGCGCCGUCGUCGGCAACGUCAUAUUCGGUAUACUCAUCGAUAUCGACUGCUCCUCGACCUUCCUGUGCCUGGGAGUCUGCCUGUUUCUGUGCACAAUCAUGCCGGUGUUUCUCGUGCAGAAGGUGAAGAAAAUGGACCUGGACGUCGUCGAGGCCACCAGAUUUUGACCGAAGAAGAAAAGAAAGAUAUAAAGAGAUAGUAUCUGACUAAAAAUUUUUAUUAUAAGAGCAAAUACUGCCAUUUUAUACAACAUCUUCAAAAGAGCAAAUACUGCUAUUACAUGAUAUAAUUAUUAUUAAUACAGGGGGCUCGAUCAUCCAACGAUAAAAAUUCUCUCUGGGCCCGCUGCGAGUCGGGUCUCUGUAAUAAUGUGCAAUAUAUUUAUGUUGGUGGCCCAAGACGACACUCGGUAAACGAGAUAUAUAUGCUCGGAUGAGAGAGAGAACGUAAGACACGAUGUUGCGGCGUCGUCAAUUGUAUCAAUUGAUGCCGUGUACAUUUUAAAGUGCGAUUUAUACACAGACACAGACACACAGACACAAGCGCGUACGUAUAUAUAUAUAUACACGCAAAAGAGACUUAGUAGCGAAUUAUUAAAAAGCUCGCAUCAACGAGUAUCAACUAGACCUAUUAAAAUGUAUCAUUGACUAAAUGUAUAAAUGUUGUGCGUGAAAUGUGUUAUACUGCUCCAAUGCCAAAGUCUCCGGGGCAGUUCAAUCCGAUGCCGUCUGGCCGGUCGAAGCCGGGAGACACUAUCUGACUAUCGUGAAUUAUAUCGUUGUUGUUAUUUAUUUUUUUAAUUGUGCAUGAUUGAGAAACUGACUGGUGCGUAUGAUAUUGAUUUAUACACGAGAAAUACUGAUUUUUUAUAAUAUACACGUAUUUUUAUACUCAUUUUUAGGUAGCUAUGAAAUUUUUACAAU